GACGAAGAAUAAACGAGAAAUAGAGGCGGAAUAGGAGAAGGAGCUAAGGUGGAAUAUUUAGAUGUUUGUCGGGUUCCUGAAGAUGCGUCGACGUGUUAUCAUCCACGCAAGCUUCCGCAACCCAGCCAGUGUACCACAGGACGGGAAGAGGAAGCCAGCGGCUGCAUGCACCAUUGAACCGGACGGCAUUGUAUUCCUCCCACAGGAGUGACUACAGCGAAGCAAGCCCAGAAUAAAGUGUUGAGUGACCGUGAUGAUUCAGUACUACUAACACCAAAGAAGUGAAGGAAGUGUUCGGAGUGAACGUGCAAGACAUACAACAGACACCAGACUGCUGCCGCUGCUGCUACUGCCGGUGUAGCCAAAGGAACAAAAGGUCCGGAGCAGGAGGAAGAAAUGGGUGAUUCUUGGAAACGCAGCAAUGAAGUUGUGAAGGUUGGCCACAAAUCUUCAUCACAGGUGUAGUGUAUUUCAUUGACCAUUUUUAGAUUGGGUGGAUAA